GAUCACUAUCCCUAUGUCGAGCUUUCUGCGACAAAAAGGAGUUCUUAAUUAAGAAAUAAACUGAUUCGCUGAGCGCAGCUGGAUACACCCGCAGAGGUCCAACCCUGAACAGUUGGGGCAAAAAUGGACACAAUAUUCAAGCUUGAUACAGGUCUGAAUUUGGAUUGUAAUUAAACAUUUGACAUAUUAUAGGUUUCUGAAUAAAUGUAGUCAAAGAACUUGAAAUUGGUUAUAUGAAUUGAAUUUAUAUUCAAUUAAAGAUUUCUUGCUGUUGUGCAAUACUUAGGUUAUCUGUUGUCAGACUAUAAACAAAUAAAGUUCAAUUAAUUCUCAAUGUCAUAUUAGAAAUUUAUGAAAAUAAAAAGGGAGCUUACAUCAAUAGAUAUAAACAAUUCACCAAAGUUUCCUGAGAAUUGGUGACAGCAUUUUUGAGUUAUUGUCCGAAAACUGGAAAAUCACCCCUUUUUUUAAUGAAUAAAACCCCAUAACUCAGAAAUGUAAAAUGUAAAAUUUAUAAAAUUCUAAAAGGAGCUUACAUCAAUACAUACAAACAAUUCACCAAAGUUUCAUAAGAAUUGCUGAAAGCAUUUUUGAGUUUUUGUCCGAAAACUGGAAAAUCCCCCCUUUUUUUAUGAAUAAAACCCUGUAACUCGGAAACGUAAAAUCUAAAAUUUAUAAAAAUCAGUAAACGGGCAUAUAAAAAUUCAGCAAUUUUUCUAUUUGUCAACACCCAUAACUCUAGAACGGUUGUGUAUAAAUUUUAUAACAUUUGGUUGAGACAAACUAAAAAAUUCAGCAAUUUUUAUGUUUAUAAAGGGACAUAACUCAAGAAUGGCAAAAGUGUCGCCUCCCAAUUUCGUACUUAAUCUGUAUUAUGUAGUAAUAAGCAUUGUGUAUAAGUUUCAUUAAAUUUGGUUGAGGCAAACUAAAGGUAGAAAACGGAAACAAAAAAUUUGUACUUGAUCUUAGUUUUGUGGUAAUGAAUAUUGUGUAUAGGUUUCAUAAUGUUUGGUUGGGGCAAACUUAAGUUACAGAAUGGAAACUAAAAAUUUUGCAAUCUUUCAAUUUAUAAAGGGGCAUAGACACUACCCAAAUUCAACUUGAUCUGUGUUUUAUCCGUGGAAGUCAAAAUUAAACAUUGCAUUGUAUAAAGCAUAGAUUGUAGUUGAUUCAACUAUAAUCAUGGACAAAGGAAGAUAACUCCAAUUUUAAAAAUAAAAAUGCUCCGCUGGGGCGCAGCUUGAUACGACCGCAGAGGUCGAACCCUGAACAGUUUAGGCAAGUAUGGACACAACAUUCAAGCUUGAUACAGCACUGAAUUUGGAUUGUAAUUAAAUAUUUGACACAGCAUAGGUUUCUGACACAGAAUGAAAGUGGUCUAAGAACUUAAAAUUUUUUAAUUUACCUAUUCAAACCAUAUCAUUAUUAUUUGUUUUUAUAUAUAAAUCAGAAAUAACCAAUUUAAAAUGGAAAAUUUUAAAGAAAAAAAGGAAAAAAAAAAUCCCCCCCCCCCCAAAUUUUUUGAACCCCCUUAUGAUUCAUCACCCUCAAACUCAAUCCCAGCCUUCCCUUUGUGGUAUGGUUCCUUGCAGUACAAUUUCAGAGAGAUCCAUACACUUGAACACAAGUUAUUGUCUGGAAACUAGAAAAAUGCUUGUUUUUUGGCCCCUUUUUGGCCCCAAAUUCCUAAACGUUUAGGGCAAUUACCCCCAAACUCAACCCCAGCUUUCCCUUUGUGAUAUGGAACCAUGCAGUACAAUUUCAUAAAGAUCCAUACACUUACACACAAGUUAUUGUCCUGAAACUAGAAAAAUGCUUGUUUUUUUGCCCUUUUAAUAGUUUUAUGGCCCCUAAUUACUAAAACUUUGAGGGAAUUACCCCCAAAAUCAAUCCAAGCCUUCCCUUUGUGAUAUGGUACCUUGCAGUAUAAUUUCAGAGAGAUCCAUACACUUGAACACAAGUUAUUGUCUGGAAACUAGAAAAAUGCUUAUUUUUGGCCCCUUGUUGGCCCCUUAUUCCUAAGCUUUUUGGGCAAUUACCCCCAAACUCAAUUCCAGCUUUCCCUUUGUGAUAUGGAACCUUGUAGUACAAUUUCAUAAAGAUCCAUACACUUACACACAAGUUAUUGUCAUGAAACAAGAAAAAUGCUUGUUUUUUGCCCCUAAUUCCUAAAAUUUGGAGGCAAUUACCUCCAAAAUCAAUCCCAGCCUUCCCUUUGUGAUAUGGAACCUUGUGAUACAAUGUCAGAGAGAUCCAUAGACCUACACACAAGUUAUUGUCAUGAAACUAGAAAAAUGCUUGUUUUUUGCCCCUUUUUUGCCCCUAAUUCCUAAAAUUUGGAGGCAAUUACCCCCAAAAUCAAUCCCAGCAUUCCCUUUGUGAUAUGGAACCUUGUGGUACAAUGUCAGAGAGAUCCAUACACUUACACACAAGUUAUGUCUGGAAGUUACAAAAAUGCUUAUUUUUGGCCCCUAAUUCCUUAACUGUUGGUACCAUAACCCCCAAAAUCAAUCCCCACCUUCCUUUUGUGGUAUUGUACCUUAUGGUAAAAUUUCAUUGAGAUCCAUUCACUUAAACUAAAGUUAGAGUGCGAAAACUAAUGUGUCUUCAGACGACAACAACGACACCAACGUCAUACCAAUAUACGACCACAAAAUUUUUUUGCGGUCGUAUAAU